rnacentral:rRNA from 1 species
AGAGUUUGAUCCUGGCUCAGAACGAACGUUGGCGGCGUGGAUUAGGCAUGCAAGUCGAGCGAAUCCCCAGCAAUGGGGGGAAGCGGCGAAAGGGGCAGUAAGGCGUGGGUAACCUACCCCGGGGACUGGUAUAGCCCUUCGAGAGAAGGGGUAAUCCCGGGCGAUGUGGCGAGAGGGCAUCCUCUUGUCACCAAAUGAGUCUCGCCCUGGGAGGGGCCCACGUGAUAUUAGCUAGUUGGUAGGGUAACGGCCUACCAAGGCGAAGAUGUCUAGCGGGUGUGAGAGCACGACCCGCGCCACUGGCACUGAGACACUGGCCAGACACCUACGGGUGGCUGCAGUCGAGGAUCUUCGGCAAUGGGCGCAAGCCUGACCGAGCGACGCCGCGUGGGCGAUGAAGGCCUUCGGGUUGUAAAGCCCUGUCGAGGGGGAGAAAAGGCAACUUGAUCUAUCCCUGGAGGAAGCACGGGCUAAGUUCGUGCCAGCAGCCGCGGUAAGACGAACCGUGCGAACGUUGUUCGGAAUCACUGGGCUUAAAGGGCGCGUAGGCGGGCCGCCAAGUCUGUGGUGAAAUCCCCCGGCUCAACCGGGGAACUGCCGUGGAUACUGGAGGUCUCGAGGGAGGUAGGGGCAUGCGGAACUACGGGUGGAGCGGUGAAAUGCGUUGAUAUCCGUAGGAACUCCGGUGGCGAAGGCGGCGUGCUGGACCUCUUCUGACGCUGAGGCGCGAAAGCCAGGGGAGCGAACGGGAUUAGAUACCCCGGUAGUCC